GAUGAAGAACGCAGCGAAAUGCGAUAAGUAAUGUGAAUUGCAGAAUUCAGUGAAUCAUCGAAUCUUUGAACGCACAUUGCGCCCGCCAGUAUUCUGGCGGGCAUGCCUGUUCGAGCGUCAUUUCAACCAUCAAGCCCCCGGCUUGUGUUGGGGACCUGCGGCUGCCGCAGGCCCUGAAAAGCAGUGGCGGGCUCGCUGUCACACCGAGCGUAGUAGCAUACAUCUCGCUCUGGGCGUGCUGCGGGUUCCGGCCGUUAAACCACCUUCAUAACCCAAGGUUGACCUCGGAUCAGGUAGGAAGACCCGCUGAACUUAAGCAUAUCAAUAAGCGGGGA
rnacentral:misc_RNA from 1 species